rnacentral:antisense_RNA from 1 species
AGAAGAGAAUGGAGUACAGCCAUCAAAAUUCUUUGGGAAAAUGAUUUCCAGCAGAGAAUUCUGCACUGUGCCAAACGAUCAAUCAAGUAUGGAGUAUUGAAUUUCCAGGCAUGCAAGGAGUAAAAUAAUUUAUCUCUCAUUGGAUCCUUUCUCAGGAAGCUACUGAAGGAUGUACUCCCAGAAAAGGACUUGAGCACCAUGACCAAGCAACUUACCAAUAUGACCAGCCAUAGUCCCAGGUCUGAGGCUUCCAAUCUUCUGGUCCAAGGUUCACAGUGAUUUGAAAAAUGGUUGUGUACAUCAUCUGGGCCACCAUGCCUAGAAGCCCUGUGCAAGGAAAGCUCUGUGAGUCACAGUUAAGAAGACACAUGAUGGAAGAACUCUAUGCUGCGUGAGUUGGCUGUAAGGAGCUCUCUAGCAUUCAUAAAGUCCUUCUGAUGUAUCUGCAUGUAUUCAUCCUUAAACAUUCCGCUGGACAUCUCUUUCCCACAAUUGAAACUGAAGAGACAUCCAGAAAGACAUAAUCGGGGAGGACCUGUCAGAACCUGGGCAGGAGUCUCCAUGUCCUGGUUCCUUCCUAAGAAGAUCAGAAAUUGGAUUUUAUCAUCCAAUUUGCUAAGGAUAAGACUUGAGGGAGCCUGUUCCAAGGGUGCUGUUGGAAAGUACCUGCCAGCACCAUGAAGAUGGCUACCAAGGCAUCCACCCUGAGCCAGUCGAACCCAGGGCUGCGACAACUCACUCUGGAGCCCAGGAGGAUGGCGCUUGUCAGUAUCAGAACGAUAUCCAGGACCUCGCCCCCAAUGGACAGCCACAAAAAACCUGCCAAAGAAAGGGAUGUUGGAAACGCUGGACAUUUCUAAUUCAGAAGUACUAAAAUGUUCAAUCCUUUGAUUUAGUUCACUUCUAAACAAAACAUGAAAAACAGACAGGCUGGAGUGAAAAUCACAGAUGCCUCUGCUGAAUCUUAGAAAGCUGGCAAUGGAAAGGCACUCCUCAGGGCUGAAAGAGACGGUUGUAGGGAUUGCCCAUAGCUGAACGGGGGGUGGGGUGGGGGCGGGGAAACUAAGCAAAACCCUGCUGUGAGGACAUGAGUGGUGCUGGGGGUCUCCAUGCCCUAGCUCAAAAACUACCACUGUGUCUGGAGUUGGUUCCUGCCAGUGGGUUCAUGGUCUGGCUGACUUCAAGAAGGAAGCCACAGACCUUCGCGGUGAGUGUUACAGCUCUUAAAGGUGGCACAGACCCAAAGAGUGAGCGGUAGCAAGGUUUAUUGUGAAGAGCAAAAGGACAAAGCUUCCAGAGCAAGGAAUGGGACCUGAGAGGGUGGCUGUGGCUGGCUGGGGUGACCAGCUUUUAUCCCCUUAUUGGCCCCUCCCAUGUUCCGUUUCUAUCUUAUCAGAGUGCCGUUUUUCCAAUCCUCCCCGCGAUGGGCUACUUUUAGAAUUCUGCUGAUUGGUGCUUUUUACAGAGUGCUGAUUGGUGCGUUUUACAAACCUCUUUAAGACAGAAAAGUUCCUGAUUGGUGCAUUUUACAAACCUCUUGUAAGACAGAAAAGUUCCUCAAGUCCCCACUAGACCCAGGAAGCCCAGCUAGCCUCACCUCUCACCAUGAUGUUUCGAUUUUACCAGGAGAUAUCAUCUUUGCCUUUUGCAAGAAAAAGUUACACAAGCAUGGGGGGGGGCGGGGGAGGGUCUGUGAGUUGGAGAGUCCUGAAUGCAGGUACCAAAACCUCAUUUGUAUCUGUGGAAGCCACUUGUUUACUUUCUGGAGAGGAUCCCACUUGUGGCUUCAAGGAACUCUGUUGGCAGUGGAGAGCAAUGGAGAAAAGGGACAGAAAAGGAAAUUCAUCUUUGCGAAAGGACUCCUCUAAGGCAAGUUAGGUAAUGGAGACACAGCAAUGAAUAGACGUGAUCCAUGCCUUCACAAAACCUCUACUCCAGCUGGGAGAACAGACACUAAGAAAGUAAUUACAAAGAUACUGAGUGUUAGCGAGCUUUAGAGAGAAGAAAAAACUGCUCUAGGCAGUGGUGUGCUGAAGCUCAUCUCACAGCUCUGUGUUCAUCUUGCAACUGAGAGCUGUGUUCAUCUUGCAAUUGAAACUGGCUAUGGUGGGAAUAUUUACAUCAUGGAACACGGCCAAUGCUGCCAAUCAGGGCUUCCCAUCCACCCUACAAAGUUGGUUGUUAAACAUUUGCCAGCACACCACUGGCUAUAGGGCACAGGAAGAGAGCCUGUGGUUCUAGCUUUUGGACUUGACUUCAUGGAAAAAUCAUCAAUGACUCUCUCAUCAUUUCCCCUAUUCCCAAUAAAACUAUAAAAAUAGUCUAAGCUAUGAGGAGUGCUAGUGGGCAGAGUGUGACUAAGGUAUUUACCUUGUUCUUCAGCUGGCACGACACUCCGGAAACUCCUACACUUUUCAUCUGAAAGAUAAAGAGAAUGCAUUCAGAAGUGGGUUACACUUCACAACCAGGGGGCAAAUGGUGAAUUUCUAACCCCUUAACUGGAUGAGGAAUGGGGAGUGUGCAGACUGCUUUACUGCUCAGGGACAUGAGCUGCCCCUCUGUGUGGGAGCCUGAUAUAAUCCGCCCUAUUGGACUCUGGUUUGGCCACAUGACAGUCUUUGACCAAUGAACUGGGAACAAAAAUGAGAUGGAUCUGAGCAGCUUUAAGAGCCAGUGUCUUUUCCCUUGGUUCUUGUUCCCUUGCUCUGUGAUCCCAGAGGCCCAUGUCAAGAGAAAGUCUCCAUCAGCCUGGGUCCCCGAAUAGCUACAAUGAGGACAGACCCCUUGCCAACCUGAAAAGUCUAUACAGAAUGAGCUAAAAAUAAAUGUGUUGGUUUAAAGCACUGG